rnacentral:ncRNA from 1 species
AAUAACACGUUGACGAGACGAGUAAAGUGUGGAAGGACAACCAGAGAGGGGAGCCGAGGCUGAAAACUCCCUGUUGCGGAAGCAUUUGAAAACUACCUCCGAGUGGCUGAAAACAGUCCGGUGAUUCCGUUAUCAUCAUGAAUGAAGUGGUUCUGGUAUCAGCAUGCCAGCACAAUUAGGGUGGAACCGCGAGAUUAUUAUAACUCGUCCCUUUC